CACUGAAAUUAUGACAGUCCUAUCUGAGCAACAUGCUACACCUUUUUAUAACCUGACCAUUAGUUUUAAAGGAUGUCCUUGUGAGGAUCGCAGAGCAGUCUGGAGAGCUGGAGAGCCGUGCAGAUCACCUCUAUGACUCUAUCUUAGCGUCUUUGGACAAGCUGGCUGGCUGCACCCUCAUCCCUGACAACAAGCCAAGAGCAGCAGCAGAACACCUGCACGAAGGGCCUUGACUCAGCAGAGGUGGCGUCAUCAGCUAAUUGGCCGUUGGGAAGAAAACUCAAGAACUCCUUGCAAGGGCCAUUUAAUAGUUAAGGAAGGGGAGAGAUUCAACUUUACCGUACUUUAAGAUGCCUUUCUCACCUCUGAAGGGUUGAGUUAUUACUGUUUUCAUUUACUAUGAAUCCUCCAAACUAAGACCUUAUCUUUUGGUGCCUCUCUACCAAAAAUAUGUGGCUUUAUAACUAUUUGGUAAAACACUUCGACUUGUGGGUCUCCUGCACCCCACCCCUCUGUUUAAAAACCAGCAGACAAAUGUGUUGAAGCCAUCUACAGAAAGCGGUCGC
rnacentral:lncRNA from 1 species